rnacentral:tRNA from 1 species
GGUGGGUUGUCUCAGUGGCUAGAGCUUACGUCUCGUAACCGGAAGGCCGCGGGAUCAAAUCCCGCUAGAGGCUG